rnacentral:rRNA from 1 species
ACAACGGGAUAGCCUCGGGAAACUGGGAUUAAUACCGUAUGAUACUUAAAAAUCUCAUGAUUUUUAAGUCAAAGCGUAAAGCGGUGAAAGAUGGUCUCGCGUCCCAUUAGUUAGUUGGUGAGGUAACUGCUCACCAAGACUUCGAUGGGUAGCCGGCCUGAGAGGGUGAACGGCCACACUGGAACUGAGACACGGUCCAGACUCCUACGGGAGGCAGCAGUGGGGAAUAUUGCACAAUGGAGGAAACUCUGAUGCAGCGACGCCGCGUGAGCGACGAAGGCCUUCGGGUCGUAAAGCUCUGUCCUUGGGGACGAUAAUGACGGUACCCAAGGAGGAAGCCCCGGCUAACUACGUGCCAGCAGCCGCGGUAAUACGUAGGGGGCGAGCGUUGUCCGGAAUUAUUGGGCGUAAAGGGUUCGCAGGCGGUCUUUUAAGUCAGAUGUUAAAUGCAUAGGCUCAACCUAUGAGUGCAUUUGAAACUGGAAGACUUGAGUUAAGGAGAGGA